rnacentral:rRNA from 1 species
AGAGUUUGAUCCUGGCUCAGAUUGAACGCUGGCGGCAUGCUUUACACAUGCAAGUCGAACGGCAGCGUGGUAGUGCUUGCACUACUGACGGCGAGUGGCGAACGGGUGAGUAAUGCAUCGGAAUGUACCGAGUAAUGGGGGAUAACUAAUCGAAAGAUUAGCUAAUACCGCAUACGACCUGAGGGUGAAAGCAGGGGAUCUUAGGACCUUGCGUUAUUCGAGCAGCCGAUGUCGGAUUAGGUAGUUGGUGGGGUAAAGGCCUACCAAGCCGACGAUCCGUAGCGGGUCUGAGAGGAUGAUCCGCCACAUUGGGACUGAGACACGGCCCAAACUCCUACGGGAGGCAGCAGUGGGGAAUUUUGGACAAUGGGGGCAACCCUGAUCCAGCCAUGCCGCGUGUCUGAAGAAGGCCUUCGGGUUGUAAAGGACUUUUGUACGGGAAGAAAAGGGAAAUGCUAAUAUCAUUUUCUGCUGACGGUACCGUAAGAAUAAGCACCGGCUAACUACGUGCCAGCAGCCGCGGUAAUACGUAGGGUGCGAGCGUUAAUCGGAAUUACUGGGCGUAAAGCGAGCGCAGACGGUUGAUUAAGCCAGAUGUGAAAUCCCCGAGCUUAACUUGGGACGUGCAUUUGGAACUGGUCAGCUAGAGUGUGUCAGAGGGAGGUAGAAUUCCAAGUGUAGCAGUGAAAUGCGUAGAGAUGUGGAGGAAUACCGAUGGCGAASGCAGCCUCCUGGGAUAACACUGACGUUCAUGCUCGAAAGCGUGGGGAGCAAACAGGAUUAGAUACCCUGSUAGUCCACGCCGUAAACGAUGUCGACCAGGAAUUUGACGCCUUAGAGGUGUUGGGUUCCAGAACAAACGAAAUAAGUCGACCGCCUGGGGAGUACGGCCGCAAGGUUAAAACUCAAAUGAAUUGACGGGGGCCCGCACAAGCGGUGGAGCAUGUGGUUUAAUUCGAUGCAACGCGAAGAACCUUACCUGGUCUUGACAUGGCAGUAAUCCUGUAGAGAUAUGGGAGUGCCGCAAGGAAACUGCACACAGGUGCUGCAUGGCUGUCGUCAGCUCGUGUCGUGAGAUGUUGGGUUAAGUCCCGCAACGAGCGCAACCCUUAUGACUUGUUGGCAUCAUUAAGUUGGCAACUCAAGUCAGACUGCUGGUGAUAAACCGGAGGAAGAUGGGGAUGACGUCAAGUCAUCAUGGCCCUUACGACCAGGGCAACACACGUGCUACAAUGGGAUAUACAGAGGGAAGCGAGCAGGUGACUGUAAGCGAAUCUCAGAAAGUAUUUCGUAGUCCGGAUUGAAGUCUGCAACUCGACUUCAUGAAGUUGGAAUCGCUAGUAAUCGCAAAUCAGAAUGUUGCGGUGAAUACGUUCCCGGGCCUUGUACACACCGCCCGUCACACCAUGGGAGUGGAUUGCACCAGAAGUAGCCAGCUUAACGAAAGAGGGCGGUUACCACGGUGUGGUUUAUGACUGGGGUGAAGUCGUAACAAGGUAACCGUA